rnacentral:rRNA from 1 species
AUUGAACGCUGGCGGCAGGCCUAACACAUGCAAGUCGACCGAGUGGCGGACGGGUGAGUAAUGUCUGGGAAACUGCCCGAUGGAGGGGGGUAACUACUGGAAACGGUAGCUAAUACCGCAUACCAUCGGAUGUGCCCAGAUGGGAUUAGCUAGUAGGUUGGGUAACGGCUCACCUAGGCGACGAUCCCUAGCUGGUUUGAGAGGAUGACCAGCCACACUGGAAGUGAGACACAGUCCAAACUGCUACGGGAGGCAGCAGGGGGUAAUAUUGCACAAGGGACGCAAGCCUGAUGCAGCCAUGCCGCGUGUAUGAAGAAGGGCUUCGGGUUGUAAAGUACUUUCAGCGAGGAGGCGUUACUCGCAGAAGAAGCACCGGCUAACUCCGUGCCAGCAGCCGCGGUAAUAC